rfam:Triticum aestivum genome assembly, contig: Triticum_aestivum_CS42_TGACv1_scaffold_624344_7DS
UAUGUACUCUCUCCAUUCAGAAUUACUCGUCCAAGAAAUGAAUGUAUCUAGAUGUAUUUUAGUUGUAGAUACAUCCAUUUUUGUGACAAGUAAUUCCGAACGGAGGGAGUACGCA